GUAUUCACUUGGGCAGUACAUAUACUAAAAUUGUACAGAUAAAGGGAAGACUGGCAUGAUUCCAGCACAAGGCUGACACAUAAAUUCGUGACACAUGGUGAUAUAUU
rnacentral:snRNA from 1 species